AUUGAACGCUGGCGGCAGGCUUAACACAUGCAAGUCGAACGGAGCGGCGGACGGGUGAGUAAUGCCUAGGAAUAUGCCUGGUAGUGGGGGCUAACGUCCGGACACGGGCGCUCAUACCGCAUACUAUCAGAUGAGCCUAGGUCGGAUUAGCUAGUUGGUGGGGUAAAGGCAUACCAAGGCGACGCUCCGUAACUGGUCUGAGAGGAUGAUCAGGCACACUGGGACUGAGACACGGCCCGGACUCCUACGGGAGGCAGCAGUGGGGAAUAUUGCGCAAUGGGGGCAACCCUGACGCAGCCAUGCCGCGUGAAUGAAGAAGGCCUUCGGGUUGUAAAGUUCUUUCGGUGACGAGGCGUUAAUCACAGAAGAAGCACCGGCUAACUCCGUGCCAGCAGCCGCGGUAAUUC
rnacentral:rRNA from 1 species